ACGUAGGGUGCGAGCGUUAAUCGGAAUUACUGGGCGUAAAGAGUGCGCAGGCGGUUGAGUAAGACAGAUGUGAAAUCCCCGAGCUUAACUCGGGAAUGGCAUAUGUGACUGCUCGACUAGAGUGUGUCAGAGGGAGGUGGAAUUCCACGUGUAGCAGUGAAAUGCGUAGAUAUGUGGAAGAACACCGAUGGCGAAGGCAGCCUCCUGGGACAUAACUGACGCUCAGGCACGAAAGCGUGGGGAGCAAACAG
rnacentral:rRNA from 1 species